rnacentral:rRNA from 1 species
GACGAACGCUGGCGGCGUGCUUAACACAUGCAAGUCGAACGGAGUGGCGAACGGGUGAGUAACACGUGGGUGACCUGCCCUGCACUUCGGGAUAAGCCUGAGAAACUGGUUCUCAUGCCGGAUAGUGUGGGAUGGGCCCGCGGUCUAUCAGCUUGUUGGUGGGGUACUGGCAUACCAAUGGGGGGAGGGGUAGCCCGCCUGAGAGGGGGGACGGCCACACUGGGGGUGAGAGACGGGCCAGAGUCUGACGUGGGGCAGAGGUGUGGAAUAUUGCACAAUAGGCGGAAGCCUCAUGCAGAGACGCCGCGUGGGAGAUGACGGCCUUUGGGUAGUAAACUCCUUUCACCAUCGACGCGGUAGAUGGAGAAGAAGCACCGGCUAACUACGUGCCAGCAGCCGCGGUAAUAC